UACGUAGGGUGCGAGCGUUGUCCGGAAUUAUUGGGCGUAAAGAGCUCGUAGGCGGUUUGUUGCGUCUAUCGUGAAAACCUGCAGCUUAACUGUGGGCUUGCGGUGGAUACGGGCAGACUUGAGUCGGAUAGGGAGAAGUGGAAUUCCUGGUGUAGCGGUGAAAUGCGCAGAUAUCAGGAGAACACCGGUGGCGAAGGCGGGUCUCUGG
rnacentral:rRNA from 1 species